CACUGACUACAAGUGAUUAUUUUAUUUUUUGAACACCGAGUUGCCUCAUCUUGUAUUAUUGGUAAUAGUUUGAUUGUCAAAAUCAAUCUAUUCUAUGAAAGAAGAGCUUAAAUAUAAAGGAAAAUGUAUGUUAUCAAGUACUAUUUUGAAAAAUAGUGUGUGCUGCUUUUGUUACCAAGAGUGGCAAUUUUACAAUACUCAAGGAGACAGACAACUGUGUCUCAUCUUUACACUUGGCUUCCUCUGAAAAGGACUGAAUUAGAAAUGCAUGGGUAAUAGUGUUUGCAAACUUUGUGCCUUGAUUUUGGUAGGAGAAAUCUUAAGGGCUUAGAGAUUAGAAAAUAACAUUUAUUCUUUGACUACGUAGAAACAAAAUUUACCAUUUCUUUCACAUAUUUAGAGCUAUAUAAAUGACACAAACCUGUUAGUCACAUCAUAAAAAUGUUUAUUUUUUAAAUUUAACUACUAGAAAGAUGUGUUUAAUGCUUCUAAGUUCCACUGAGAAAAAGAAAGUGAAAAGAGGCACACAGAGAAAUAAAGCAGUACUGAGGAAAGCUACCACGCCAAACUCGACCACAGACCCGGAAAACAAACAAAACUCUUCCCAGGAAAGAAUAUACUGUGAAACAAUGCUAAGAGAAAGGCUGUACUUAUCAACGUAUGAGGAGCAACAGCAAGAGCUGAACUCAUCACAAAUUGCGAAUCCUGUGCUGCAUUCUCUCAGUAGUGUAGGCCAUGAGUGGAGAGCUUUGAGCAACUGUGAAUCUGAAUGCGUACUCUGUCUGAAUAUUAAGCCAUACUGGUAACACAUAUUCUAGAGGAAGUAAGCAUUUAUAAUGUAAGUAUAUUUUACUUGUAGUUAUGUGCAAUGCAAUGGAGAGUAACAAAAAACUGAAAAGAAUUUUAUAAUUACUUAUGACAGUUCUUUGAAAAUACAUGCAUAACAUAUCAUGGAAAUCCACUUUAAACUUCAAUUAAAUCCAAGUUGGUCUUUAACUGUGGUAAAACCAAAAGUCACUUCUCAUAUUCCCUUUCACACUAACUUUGAUCUAAUAUUUUAAUCUCUCUAGAUGCUAGAAUAAGCAGCAUGACUUAUCUUUAGCUCUAACAUGUCAAGAUAAAAGCCUGAAGAAUUUUAAAUCAAAAAUUAUGUUUUAAACUAGCAUUUACCCCAUUUGUAUCUAGUAAGUUUCCUUUGGAAUUAAUAUAGAAAAUAAUAUUUUCACGGAGUUCCACCACCAGAUAAAUGAGAAACUAUAAAUGGGUCCUACAUCUUGCACUAGUUGUAGUGGUCUAAGAAGUAGCUGCAGUGUUUGAGUGCCGUGUGUGUGAGUCACUUAUGUUAAAUCCAUACAGGCCAGUGAUUAGGUAGUAUGCGUAAUCAUGGGCUUGAUACUUAAGAUGGCUUACAUUCAGUAUCCACUUCCAUCACACUCUUAGUGUGUGGUCUUAGGCAAAUAAUUCUCUAUUUCCUCACAGACUGGAAAUAAAAUUAGUUUCUGAUUUCUAUCUCUAGUUCAGAGAUGGUUGCUGUGGGGAUUAAAAGAAAUCAAUAUGGAAAGCACCAAACACAUGACAGGAACACAGUGAGUGGGAAGUAGAAUGAAAGCUAGCAGGCCUGUCAAACACUACAAAACUGUUCUGUGGAAGAGAAGUCUUAAUACAUGACAAUUCACACAGGAACUUUAAACAUAUACUUAGAUAAAUUAAAUUUCACAUUGCUUACUGCUCCUAUAGCACAGAUUACUCCUAUCCAAAAGAAGAUAUGCACAUCUUACAGGUCUCAUAAAAACUGAGAGACAUAGCACAUGUAGAGAGCUGAGUACAGAACCAAGAAUCUAAUUUAACAAUUAUUAUAAUUCCCAGUUCAAAGACACUUAGAAGUAACAUUCCUUUGUGCCCAAGUUAAAAGACAGCAUUUUCUAGAUACCACAAUUCACCAAACCCAAAUAUGUGCCUAAUCCUACUGUUAAAUUCCCUUUAGCUCUACCUCACUAAAAUGAUGUAUUUUAUGCAUUAAAAACCACAAAGCCAAUAUAAUUUUAAACUCCUGCUACACAAAUAACAGACAAAAUACUAUGCUCAUUUAGAACACAGGAAAUAAAUAAAAUCAAGAAAACAAUGGUUUGGGGUUCUAAUGACAAAUUGGAUUAAAUUUGUUUCAGGGUUUUAAGAACUGAAAAUUCUAAAAGAAAACAUGACAGACACCUUGGAGAGAAAGUGUCCAUUUCUGACUAAAUCUCUUCUAUACAAAAAGAGAUUUGAUUAUCCCUCUGUAAUACAAGUUUGUUCUUUGUUACUUCAAGUUAAUGCAAGUCCUAAAUGAAUGGUCAGACUAUACACUUCCAGAUUACUUUCUGAAUUAGAUGUUUUUUUUUUAGAAUCUCUAAAUUUAAAAAAUGAUGAAAAAAUGACAAGUAAACUGGAUUGUGAAAGUAGAAGGCAAUCCACUUUACCAGUAACAGAACUCAUUAGAGAUUCCAUCCUGAAUGCUUGAAUACAUAUCUCUCUGAAUGCGUGCCUGUCUAUAUGUGUGUGUGCAAGAAUAUGGAUAGGUGAGUGUGCAAAUGUGUGUGGAAGCUACAGUCUGAAAUUGGGUGUCUUCCUCCAUUACUCUCCAACUCAUCAUAAUUGUUAUUUCUUUUCUUCAGAUGGGAGUCUCUCACUAUACCUGUUGUUCACUGAUUGGUAUCAGCGCGCUGGCCAGUAAACGCCAUGGAUCCUCCUGUUUCUGCCUUCAGGUGCUGGGAUUACAGUAAUGCCCUGCCAUACCCCCCUUGUAUAUGGGAGCUAAGGUCUGGAACUCAAGUCUUCAUUUUGAAGUUCCUUACAUAAGAAGUAGUGUAUGGACAAGUCACUCUCUAGCCCUAGUGAGAAGCAUUCUUGCUUCAUGAACAAUAUAAACAUUGAUGAAUGUAAUAAAUUAUCUUGUCUAAGUUAACACUAUAAAUAUACUAAAAUGGAAAGUAAGUUUAAAAUUUAAAAUUAAUUCUUUUCAGUAGAAAUGUGAAUAAAACAAACAUUUAACGGUUAAAUAUACUUGAAACCAAGAUUUAUCCUACUUACAAUUUAAUACCCCAGAAACAAUAUAUUUAACUAUGGAAAUUGAAUAUGUAAACCAUAAAUAGGCUCCUGUGACUUUUAAAUAUCUUCUUUCAGUCAUUUAUGCAAUUAUAAUGAAUUAAUUAUAAUUAAUGAUAACAUAAAAUAUGAAUCACACAAAUUUACUUCAAGGUGUAGCUUUAAUCUAAAAAUUAUAGAGUAAUUAUUAAAAUGAUAAGAGUACAUGAUAAGAUUAAGUCACACCAUAAAAAUUAAAUGUGAUGGGCUGGUUUAGUCUUUCUACAUGUCUAACAACAUCCCUAAAUGAACUUGAUUAGAAAAAAUAGGUUCAUUUUAAUAAAAAUUAGGGAAAAGUCAUGGUAAGUGAGCAUUUUUUAACCCCCAAAUUUUCAAAAGCCUUAACAGAAACAAUGCUAUAUCUAGCCAUUACUCCUUGGAAAACUGAAUAUCCCUUUCCUAAUCUUUUCUGAGGAAUUAGAGAAAGGACUGAAAGAGCAGAAGGGGCUUGCAACCCCAUAAGAACAACAAUGCCAACCAAAAACAGCUUCCAGGGACUAAACCACUACCCAAAGACUAUAUAUGAAUUGAUCCAUGGCUCCAGCUGCAUAUGUAGCACUGGAUGGCCUUGUUGGGCACCAAUAGAAGCAGAAGCCUGUGAUCCUGCCAAGGUUGGACCCCCAGUGUAGGGAAUUGUGGGGGAGAUAAGGGGGAGUGGAUGGGGAAGGGAACACCCUUAUAGAAGGGGAGGGGAGCCUUGCACACAGGGACUCAGAAAUAGGGGCAGACCCUUCUGGUUGCUGCCCUCACGGAGAGCUGAAUUCCAGCCCCAAGGAGUGACUUCAGGCCCAAGAUCAGAGGUAAGACCAACUCUGCCACUCCAAGUGACCUGCCUGGUGGAAUCAGAACACACAAACCACAAGAACAGCUGAAAGCCAGUGGACAGGAAUGACUACACGCCUGAAAGAACAACACUCUGUGCCCAUAACUGGCUGAAAGAACACAGGAAAACAGGUCUACAGCACUCCUGACACACAGGCCUACAGGACAGUCAAACCACUGUCAGAAAUAGCAGAACAAGAUAACACCAGAAACAACCUGAUGGCUAGAGGCAAGCGAAGGAAUCCAAGCAACAGAAACCAUGACUACAUGGAAUCAACAGAGCCCAUUUCUCCCACCAAAGCAAACACUGAAUAUCCAAACACACCAGAAAAGCAAGAUCUAGAUUUAAAAUCACAUUUGAUCAUGACGAGGAAGGACUUCAAAAAAGACAUAAAAAACUCCCUUAGAGAAAUGCAGGAAAACACAAAUAUACAAGCAGAAGCCUAUAGAGAGGAAAUGCAAAAAUCCCUCAAAGAAUUACAGGACAACACAAUCAAACAGGAGAAGGAAUUAUAAAUGGAAAUAGAAGCAAUAAAGAAAGCACAAAGCAAAACAACCCUGGAUAUAGAAAACCAAAAGAAGAGACAAGGAGCCAAAGAUACAAGCAUCACGAACAGAAUGCAAGAGAUAGAAGAGAGAAUCUCAGGAGCAGAAGAUUCCAUAGAAAUCAUUGACUCAACUGUCAAAGUUAAUGUAAAACGGAAAAAGCUACUGGUCCAAAAUAUACAGGAAAUCCAGGACUCAAUGAGAAGAUCAAACCUAAGGAUAAUAGGUAUAGAAGAGAGUGAAGACCCCCAACUCAAAGGACCAGUAAAUACCUUCAACAAAAUCAUAGAAGAAAACUUCCCUAACCUAAAGAAAGAGAUGCCCAUAAACAUACAAGAAGCCCAGAGAACUCCAAAUAGACUGGACCACAAAACUCCUAUAAAUGAUAAACACUUUCAGCAAAGUAGAAAGAUAUAAAAUUAACUCACAAAGAUCGGUAGCCCUCCUGUGUAUAAAUUGCAAAUGGACUGAGAGAGAAAUCAAGAAAACAACACAUUUCACAAUAGCCUCCAAUACAUCAAACUAUCUUGUGGUAAUGCUAGCCAAGCAAGGUAAUCAGAGGCACAUAGCCUUCAUCCUACCACACAGACAGUUGCUCAACCAUGUUCACUGCUGCUCUAUUCAAAAUAGCUGACAUCGGAAAGAACUUAGAUGUCCCCGAAAAGAAGAAUGAAUAAAGAUAAUGUACAUCUACACAAUGGAGUGUUAUUCAGCCAUUUAAAAAAUUAUAGCAUGAAGUUGUAGGUAAGAAGAACUAGAAAAAAGAAUCAUCACCUGUAGAAAACAGAAUGUGAUAUGUAUUCACUUACAUGUGGCUAUUAGCUGUUUGUUAAUCAAUUAAUGAUUGUCAAGCUACAUAAUCCACAAAACCACAGAGGUUAGGUAUAGAGUAGGGACUAAAGGGUUUGGGGUUGGAGGACAGAUCUCCCUAGGAAAGGGAAAUACAACAGUUAGUUAUGACUGGAUCAUGAGUGGGUGGAAGGGAGGAUCAGGCAUGUACUGGGAUGAUAAAGGAGGACAAGGGAGGGGUAAUAUAGGGACAGAGGGAGAAAAUUAAGGUGCACUAAACAGGUUGUAUGGAAACAGUUUUCUAAAUUAUAUAUGUAUAUGAAGGCUAUCUAAAUGAAACUGCCAAUUAAUGGAGGAGAUAAUGUCACCUAAUGAAGAUUCCAGUAUUAAGACUGGGUUACAUCUAAUUGAGCUCUUGGCCAAAGGAGUCCCAUGGUAACCCUCAGGCAACCUACACUGUUAGUCAGACUAUAGUUUCUCAAAAAAAUUCAAGACAUGUACUACUUACUGUCAAGGCAAAAUACUAUGAAUAAAAUAGAUAGCAAGUUACCAACUCCCAAACUGGCUAAAGUAGUGUAAAGAUUUGGGUUGUACUGCAUUUUGUGCAGUAAGUAUUAAAAUCCAUGUUCUAGAGGACCCUUAAAAGAACCACCAACAGAAACUGACAAGAAAUGUCCACACUUUUACAUUACUACUGACCACUUUAUCAUCAGCAACUACCAUCAAAUGUAUUUUCACCUAUCAUCCAAAGUCUUUUUAACAUUAUGGAUGCUCAAAGUUACUACUUUGAUGAAAAAAAGGAACUGAUUUUUUUCCCAGUGUGCAUGGGUAUUUUAUGAAGUACAUGCUUUGAGUUUGGGGCAGAACAGAGCAACUUUGCUGCGUUCUAAGAGCUCUAAUUGUUCAAUUCAUCUAUUAACACAUGACAGACUGAUAAGUGAAUCUUUACUUAUUACAUUUUUAGAUUCACACAGCCACUUUUAAAUGAUUCAGUCUGUGCUUUCUACAAAACAGUAUGCUAAACCACAGGCAGCCCCUGCCUUUAUUGUUUCCAGAAAAUUAACCUAUGAUUUCAGUAAUGCAUUAUCUCUACUUAAAACAGUACCUUUUUAUUUACACAAAUUUGCUACUAUAUUUAAUUUUAUCCUAAAUUUGCUACAUAUUUAAUUUUAUCCUUGACGACUAUAUCCAGUUAUUUAACCCAUUUUUUUAAUUGUAGCCAUAAUUUAGUUCUUUGGUGAAAGAAAAAAAAAGAUUUGCAAAAAUAUUUAAAAUGUAAUGACCAAGUUUUUUCUUUCUUAAAUACUGUUUUCAUAUUUUUAAAAUUCUUAAACGUUUUAUCUUAAAAAUAUGAUAAAUCAAAAGAGGUGUCAAAGGAGUGAUUAUUAAUUCAUAACUAUACUAUUGAAAUUGUAGCCUAAGAUCUUCGUGUGACAUUGUUAGUGCAUUCAUUGUGUGUGUUUAUCAUUUUAAAUGCUAUGUUAUCAAUGAAGUGAUAGAUAACAAGUGUUACCUAGUCCCAUAAGUUGCAACCAGUUGAGCUUUCUGGUAACUAACAAAAACCAUAUGAAAGCAAUUCUUUUUUUUUUUUCCAUAUCCUAAAUUUUUUUUUUUAUUAACUUGAGUAUUUCUUAUAUACAUUUCGAGUGUUAUUCCCUUUCCCGGUUUCCGGGCAAACAUCCCCCUCCCCCCUCCCCUUCCUUAUGGGUGUUCCCCUCCCAACCCUCCCCCCAUUGCCGCCCUCCCCCCAUAGACUAUUUCACUGGGGGUUCAGUCUUAGCAGGACCCAGGGCUUCCCCUUCCACUGGUGCUCUUACUAGGAUAUUCAUUGCUACCUAUGGGGUCAGAAAAGCAAUUCUUUAAGUAUAUUCUCUACAAAGUCCAUUGAAUGGAAGAGAUCUCCUUUAAAUGAAAUUGUUAGGGUGUCUCUAGAAUUGCUCAGUGAGUAAGAACAACACACCUGACAAAAAACAUAGGCCUAUUGAUGGAAUCAAUAGGAUCCAGUCAAAUUCCAGUGAGAUUACAAUCAACUCACUUUCAUUUUAUUGACCAAAACUUUUCAUACUUACUGUUCUCUUUUAUUUGUUUUAUUGCUGUGUUAAUUAUUAAAGAAUGGCAAAAUUGGCUGGUCGUAUCAAGGACCUUGUAUCAUGAUCUGCAAGUAUACAUGCAUCCUUUUAAUCGUGAAACAAAUUUGAUGUAGAGCACUGAGCACAAUGAGUGAAUUUUUAAAAAAUCAUUUUUGGAAGGUUUUAUUCAUUAAAAUUAUAUUUUCACUAUCCUUUCAAAACUUUACGUUUUCCCUAGUUUGGAUAUAGAUUCUAAUCUGUGUCAUAGUCUUUAAAAAUACUAAAAAUAUUUCAGUAUUCAGUCAUCAAAUUAAGUAGAAAGUAUACAAAAGCCCUGAAAAUUCAGUGGAUCAUACAGUGACUCUGAGAAAAGUUUUCAUAUAAAACAAGGAAGGUGGCAUUUGAAUUGGAUCUCAAAGAAGCUAAGUAUGUUUUCGAGGUACAAUAAGGAAGAUAGGCUUUUUCAAGCAGAAGGUGUGUGUAAAGACAAAGGACCAGACUGCUGGGUUCACGUGUCUAUAGAUUUGGAGGCAUAUUUCCCAUAAGGGACAAGAUAUAUAUUAAAACCAAGAUGGCAUACAAAUAGUGAUUUAGGAAGAUCCAUACACAGGUCACCUAAAGCUGUGAGUACCUGAAACUAAAAACAAAAGACAGAAGACAGACUGAAGCCAGGUUUGGAGGGUCUAGUAGGCUCAGUUGUAAAGUGUAACUCACCUUGCAAGAGCUGGGGAGUCCAUGUACACAUUUAAGUACAAUAAAAGCAAGAACAUGUCUUAGAAAGUCAACUGCAUUAAAAGUUCAUCUAAAGGUUAUUACAACAAUCCAGGAGACUUAUGGAAUGUAUCAUAUACUUCCUCAUUAUAAUCCUGGAAAUGAAACCUAUAAUCCUCCAUUUACAAGUAAAACCCAAAACAUGUGGCCAGCUCAAUGUCACAUGCAGUCAGUGCUGGACAAAGAUCUGACACUAAACACUUUGGGAUUUGUAUUUUGUUCUACAGGUGCUGCCACUCAUAUGUUUGGCUACUAAUACAACGAGUUAAAACAAGACAAAAACUACCUGUGAAGCCUGUAAGAAACAAGUAUUCAGGAAGACAACACCAAUAAUAAAUGAAGAAAUAAAGACAAGUAUCUUUGUACUUAGAAAAAAGGGAAAUUACACAUAGCAAUUUAUAUUUCUACAAUGGAGAUAAUUUUCAAAUUUCUAAUCAAUAAAUAAAUAUAUAUCCAACACAAUGAAAAACCAAAAUGCUAUAGAAAAAAAUAAAAAGUCAGCAAGUAGGUUUUCCAUGUUUUGAAAUUAGUGUCCAUGCACUCAGGUUAAUUAAAGUCUAAAUUAAAAAAGCUAUCUUUAAAUCAACAAAACAUGAUUUAUAUUCUAGUAAGGAAGAAUGUGAUAUCAUAAUAUAUAAUACAAAGUAUUGUACAUGACAAUGCCUUAGCAUAUCUUUAAGUACAUGUCACACAUGUGAAUGUCACAUGAAAAGACAGACCGAAACGCUCAUGAGGUAAGAUAUAAGUAUACUCACCAGCUACUUUGUAACACAUCAGUUUUCCUUUCUAAAUACACAGAUUUAAAUUUCAAUUAGUAAAAAGAAUCAUAAGAAAACAAACUAUCAUCAACUUAAAAAAGUAUUUGCAAUGUCUACAAAACUAUAUACUAAAAGUCAUUUUUUUUAAUAAAAAUUCCCCAUAAAAAGGGGAACUUCGUGUAGAAAGAAUAGCCAAAUAGCAUCAGUUGGGAACAGUAACUUUCUGCAUUGCAAAGCACAAACUUCCCAUCUCUAUUCUUUUGAUCAACCAAACCGUUAACCUAAGUUCAUUUCAAUAGAAUAUUUAAUAAACUUUAAUCUGGUUUCUUCAGUUUGAGACUACAAAAACAGAAAAAAAUGAAUUUUUAUUACAGGGGACUAUUAUAAAAGUUAUGCCCAUAUUCACGUUAUGGUAUAUUUUAUUACAAUAACAUCAGCAACAACGAAGACAACUACUACUACUGAUUAGUUUAGAGAUGGACUUUAGUUUCAGAAUCACAGAAGCUGGGUAACUGGGCAUCAAAUUGUACAUCUGCAGUGCCAACAACUAAGGAGUUGAACCUGAGCUACAUGAAACCACAUCUUAACAACAAAAAAGAGAAUAAUAAGAAUAAAUAUGACUGAGAUACAUCACAUACAUGUAUAAAGAUAUCAUAAUAGUCAUGAGACCAUUAUUAUAUAUAAAUAUAUAACCAAAAUAUCAAAAAUUAAAAAAACUGAUUUAGCUGCAUUUACUGAAAAAAAUUUUAUAUGUAAUUAGGUUUGAAACAAGUAGAAAUGUCAGGCUAAAUCCUAUAAUUGUAAUGAUAUGGAUAAAAAAGAUGGUGAAAGGACAUCAGAUUAAAUAUUUUAGUCCCCUUAAAAUCUACAAGCUAUGUUCCAAAGUCUUCAGUGGAUGCCUGAGAUUGAAGUAGCAUUGAAGUCUACAUAAAUUAUAUUUGUUUCUACUUGUCUUGCCGUAGUCGUGAAAGAUAUUAGCAGAAUGAAUUAUUUUCUAUGUGUAUACUGAUUUAGUAUCAUUCACUCUUUUCCUUUAGAGUCAUGAACAACAACAACAAAAAGGGUCACAUGAACCAUCCACACUGUAAUAUUGUAAAAGUCAAUCUAAUAACUGACAAUUACUAAGUAGUAGGACUAGAGAAAUGGCUCAGUGGUUAGGAACGCUGACUGUUCACUCAGAAGUCCCGAGUUCGAUUCCCAGCAACUACAUGGUGGCUCACAACCAUCUGUAAUGAGAUCUGAUGCCCUCUUCUGGUAUGUACAGCUACAGUGUACUCAAAUACAUAAAAUAAAAAAAAUCUUUUUUAAAGAUUAUUAAGUGGUAGUAAAGACAGUAUGUGGAUGCACUGAAGAAAGAGAGGACUCACAUUCUGAGCAAGACCACAGAAGCUUUUACUACCCAACUCAGAAAGACAUGGAGCUGAAAACAGAACAGGAGAGAUAGCUCAAGAGUGUAGAAGCACUUGCCCACAGGCCUGGAAAACUGACCGUGUGGUGGAAGAAACCUGACAGCAGACUUGUCCUUUGACCUCUCCAUGCACUCUGUGGCAACUGCCCCUCACACAGUCAGACUAUGUGCAUGCUAGACACUACACCAACUGAGCUACAUCUUAGCUCUAACUGGUUAUUUAAAAUAUUUGAAUAAAUGUACCAUAAUGUGAAAAUAUGCAUAACUGACUGUAAUUCAUUUCUUAUUUACAUUUUAAAAGUGUCAUUAUGAAAAUAAGAAACUCGAUGAAUUAUUCUUUUUACUUAAAAAUAUGAGACUACAAUUAACUAUAGGUAACUGCAGAUAAGAGACUACUGUAGACUAAAGUAGUUUAUUUCUUCAAAGGAAAAGAUUUUGUGAAAUAAUGUGCUCUUCUGGUCUGCUUCCCACCCCCUCCCCAUUCCCCAUUCCCAACCUGGGCCAGAUCACCUGGUCAGAUACUCUGCCAAACUCUGUCUGCCUCCUAGGAGAUCAACAGUAACCAGGGAAAUGGGAGGUCCUCAGUAAUCAGGGACACAGGAGACCUGCUCUAAACCAGAACACAGAGCUCUACCUGCCUCCAACUAGGCAAGCUCUAGUCAGGGACACCAGGCCAAUUAACAGCAGAGAUAACCAGAUGUCAAGAGGCAAGAACAAAAAUCAUAAGUGACAGAACGCAAUAUAUUUUGGCACCAUUAGAACCCAGUUCUCCCACCACAGCAUGUCCUGGAUAUCCUAACAUACCCAGAAACCAAGAUAAUGACCUAAAAUCCCAUCUCAUGAAGAUGAUAGAGGCCUUUAAGAAGGAUGCAAAUAACUCCCUUAAAGAAAUAUGGGAAAACAAAGGCAAACAGGUAGUGAAAGAAACAAAUAAAUAUCCCUUAAAGAAAUACAGGAAAAUACAAUCAAGCAGGUGAAGGAAUUGAACAAAAUGGUACAAUUCUAGACAUUCUAAUAUCCAACAAAUAAAGCUUUAAAAAGAAAAGUAAUCCAAUGCAUUCUAUCAGAUCAUGGCAGACUCAGACUGGACUUCAAUAUCAACAAAAAACCCAGAAAGUUCACAUAUUCAUAGCAACUGAACAACUCUCUGCUCAAUGAUAACUUGGUCAGGGAAGAAAUAAAUAACAAAACAAAGGACUUUAUAGAAUUCAAUGAAAAUGAAAACACGCAGUAGCCAAACUUAUGGGACAAAAUGACAGCAGUGUUAAGAGAAAAAUUCAGAGCACUAAGUGCCUAAGAAAUUGAAAAGGUCCCACACAAGAAACUUAACAGCACACCUGAAAGAUCUAGAACAGAAAGAAACAAAUACACACUGGAGGAGUAGAAGGCAGGAAAUAGUCAAACUCAGGGCUGAAAUCAACAAGUUAGAAACAAAGAGUUAAUACAAAGUUAAUACAAAGAAUUAACAAAAUCAACAGCUGGUUCUUUGAGAAAACCAAAGAGAUAAACCCUUAGCCAAACUAAAGGGCACAGAGGUGACUUUCAGCCAGAUUCAGACAAGACAGACAUCAGAGAUUACAACAACCAUUGGGUGGCCUUCUUAAGGCCAAACAAUUGCCCCAUUUUCCCUCCCCCCCCAAAAGAUAUCUCAACUUUCAUGUACAGCUUGAGCUUGAAGAAGUAACUGAGUCUUCACCCUGGUUCUUUAAACUUUGGGAGGCUUGUGGUGGUUAUUCUAAGGCUGUCUUUCUAGAGAAUUUAGAAAUGGCCAUAAUUUAACAGAGGAAUUAGCUCAAAUUGACUGUACAGCCAUAAUCUUAUUUAGUAGAAAUCCUUAUAUUUGUUACUAAGCUGAACGUAUAAUCUUUUACAUUGGUACAGGAUUUAUUUGAUACAAGUUUAAGAUCUUUGGUAUGAAUUUCUUAUUGAUUUAAAAUCAAGAUUAAUACUGUUACUCUGAUACAACACAUUUAAGUAUAUAAAGCUUAUACCCAGUCCUUUAAUCUGAGAUGAUUAAACACAGAAAUUAAGAGUCAGAUAGCAAAUUCAUGGCUUUAAGUUUACUGUUAGGGUGUUUUCAAAAUAUUUUUAUUAGAAAUAGCUGAGAGUAGUUAACAGACAACAGUCCAGAUCACUUUACACAGUUUUCAAAAACAUCAGAAAUCCACAAAAUGUGAUUUACUGUUACUCGCUUGUUGAGACGUAGCCACGCCUAACAGCUCCCCAUCUGUGAACACAAAGCAGCAGCUGAGCAUCUGUACUUCAGGGGAGGUGCGCUGUGGCUGGCUGGCCACUGGGCAGAAACUGCCUAUUCCAUCCACAGACAAAUACUAUCCAGAAGGACACACUUACAGAACAGUCCACUGAUAAUCUCUGCUCAGUCAGAAUAAUCGGUCCUUCAAAAUUCUGUUACAGAAGUCUCCCAGAUCAUACUGGGCCAGAGGCUGAGAACUGAUUCUCGCAUAUGUUGCUAACAGGGGACUGAACUGGUAGACAGUUAAUCUCUUCAACUUAUCUCAGUCCAGGAAGUCAUGUUAGGCUUCCUAUACUUUCAGAUAAUAUUGGUCGUUCUCAGACUUCUGAUGGGAUUAGAAAUUAGUUGUAGUCUCAUGGAGCAUCAAGGCUAUUUAACAUUGAGAGAAAUAAGAGAGGAAAAGGAAAAAGAACCAAGAUGGAGGCAGAGAAGGAUGAGCCAGACCCGUGUGGCCUUAAAUGGCCAUGAGUAGUUAUGAAUAUUUCUUAAGGGAUGGGUUUUUAUAGUCAAUUUAUCUUAUCUAGGUGAGAAGUUUAUAUCUUUAUCAGUUGGUUGUGAGUUUAGUGUGGACAGAUUGUGGAUUGAGAAUUUAACAUAUACAGCUGAUUGCUAAAUUACAACUUGUUGAAUCAUGAUUUUAAUAGGUUAUUGGGAAUUUAUACCAUAACUAUUAGGGGAAAGAUGCUGGGAAUGUAAACAGAGCAGCAGGGGAGAGUUACAAGAGGGUAGCCACCACUGGGACUAGAGUGGGGCACAGAGCUGUGGGGUACCAGCCAAUAUCGGGACUUUUAGAGUCCUGAUUUUACUGGGUUGCUGGAACAAGAGAGUUGCAGGCUGGCCAUCCAGGAAAGGGCAGCUAACAAUGGGUGCAGAGAGACCCCUGGGGCUGGAGGACAGCUAGAGAUAAUGUGGCAUGGUGCACUAACCUGCUGCCGCUGAGAUGAAAAUACCCUGCAGAUGCCAUGUGGCCCUACGGUGCCUGCACAAGCAGGAGAUAAGAUUCCAUUUUUUAAUAAUUACCGCAACACUUCUGAGAGAAUUACCAGCUCUGUCCUUAAUCUGUGUUUGAAAGCAAUAGUGAAAAAGACAGCAUGGUAUUGGUAUAGAAAAAGAAAGCUCAAUCAAUGGAAUAGAACUGAAGAGACAGAAAUAAACUCACACAUCUAUGGAUCCUUGAUCUUUGACAAAGAAACCAAAAAGUAUCUUCAAUAAAUGGUGCUGGUCCAACUGGUGGUCUGUAUGUAGAAGAAUGAAAAUAGAUCCAUAUUUUUCACCUUGCACAAAGCUCAAGUCUACGAGGAUCAUGGACCUCUACAUAAAACCAGAUACUCUGAAUCUAAUAGAAGAGAAAGUAGGAAAGAGCCUUGAACUCAUUGGCAGAGGGGAAAAUUUCCUGAUCACAACACCUAUGACUCAUGAUCUAGAAUCAACAAUUGAUAAAUGGGACCUCAUGAACUAAAAAGUUUCUAUAGGGCAAAGGACACUGUCAAUGGGACAAAUUGGCAACCUACAGAUUGGAAAAAAGUUUUCACCAACACUACAUAUGAUAGAAGUCUAAUAUCCAAAAUACAUAAAGGAUUUAAGAAGUUAAGCUCCAAAAAACCAAACAACCCUAUUAAAAAAUGGGGUAUAGAGUUAAACAAAGAAUUUUCAGCUGAGGAAUAUCGAAUGGCUGAGAAGUACCUAAAAAAAAUGCCCAUCAUCCUUAGUCAGCAGAGAAACACAAAUCAAAACAAUCCUGAGGUUCCACCUCACAUCCAAAAAGAAUGGCUAAGAUCAAAAAUUCAGGUGACAACAGCACAUGCUGAUGAGGAUGUGGAGAAAGAGCAACACUCCUCCAUAGCUGGUGGGAUUGCAAACUGAUAUAACCACUAUUGAAAUCAAUCUGGAGAUUCCUCAGUAUAUUGGAAAUAAUUCUACUGAAGACCCAGCUAUACCCAAAGUAUGCCCCACCUUACCAUAAGGAAAUAUGAUCCACUAUGCUCACAGCAGUCUGAUCUGUAAUAGCCAGAAGCUGGAAACAACCCUGAUGUCCCUCAACCAAAUAAUGGAUACAGAAAAUGUGGUUCAUUUACACAAUGGAAUACUACUUAGCUAUUAAAAACGAGGACAUCAUGAAUGUUGCAGGCGAAUGGAUGGAACUAGAAAAUAUCAUCCUGAGUGAGGAAAGUCAGACUCCAAAGAACAUCCAUGGUAUGUACUAAGUGUUAAGUGAUUAUUAGCCAAAAAUACAGAAUACCUAGGAUACAAUCCAUAGUCUGCAAGGAGUUUAACAAGCAGAAAGCCCCAAGUGAGAAUGCUUCAUUCCCACUUAGAAGGGAGAAGAAAAUAAUCAUGGGAGGCAGAGAAACCUGGGUGGGAGAGAGAAGAGGAAGGAGAAAAGAGAAAUAGGAUCAGGUGUUAUGGGAGGGGGGACAGGUGAAAAGCCCAGAUGGCCACAGAAUGAAUGGAAAUAAGCAGACUGGGGUAGGCGAUUCGAGGUGGAGGGACCCCAGAGAAAGUAUCGGAGACCCAGGAGGUGAGAGUCUCUCAGAACUCAAUGGGGGUGUCCUUUGCCAAAAUGACCAACACUGGGGAAUGGAACUUGAAGUGUACACCUUCAGUAGAUACACAGGGGCUCAAGUGGAGGGACUGGAUUAUUAACCCAAAGUUAAAAUUUCCAACCCUGAAUUUUUCCUGUCUGAAAGAACUCUAGGGAUAAAAAUGGAGAAGAAAUUGAUGGAAAGGUGGUCCAAUGACAGCCCAACUUGGAAACCAUCUCAUGGUAGGGCACCAAGACCUGACACUGUUACUGAUGCUAUGAUGUGCUUACAGACUGGAGCUGUCCUAUGAGAGGCCCUACCAGCAGUUGACUGAAACAGAUGCAGAUACUUAACCCAACCAUUAAACUGAAGUCUCAGACUCCCAUGGUGGAAUGAUAGAAGAAUCGAAGAACCUGAAGGGGAGAGCAACCACAUAGGAAGACCAGCAGUCUCAACUAACCCAGAACCCAGGAGAUUCCCAGACACUGGGCCACCAACCAGAAGCAUACACAGGAUGGUCUGAGGCCCCUGGCACAUAUACAGCAAAGAACUGCCUGGUCUUGCCUUAUCCGGAGAAGAUGAGCUUAAUCCAGGAGUGACUUGAGGCCCCAAGAAAGGGGAAGGCCUGGUAGGUUGGGGCUGGGGGGGUUUGGGGGGGUUUCAACUUGAAGGGGGGUGAAAUCAACGUGGAGGCAGGCAAGGGGGAGGAGGAAUGGGAUGAGGAACUGGGGGGUGGGGGCAAUGACUGGAAAGUUAAUAAAGUAAUUAAAAAAGUAAUGUUUAAAAUCAAACAAAGAAGUUGAUAUGUUUUAACACAUUAAGCGAAUAAUUAACUUUAAAAAAUAAAAAAAACCUUAUAAUGGUUUAGAAAACCAAUGAUCCAGUAGGCAAAAUACUUACUGUGUAAAAUUGAGGAUAUGUAUUCAAAAUGCCAGCACCAAGUAAACUGAGGAUUUGUGUUCAAAUUCCCAGCACCCAGUAAGUCAGACUAAGUGAGUAUCUGUAUCCAGCACUAGAAAGAGAGAGGAAUAUCUCCAAAGCUUGCUGCAUCCAUGAAUUCCAGAUUCAGUGCAAUUCAGUGUGGACUUAAAACUCAAGCACAAAGCGGUUGGUUACAGCCACAAUGCUGGCCAGAAUUACAUCAGUAGGCAUAUCUUGCCAGACUAGUCAUUUCUGUAGGUCACUUAUUACCUUGGUAGCAAGAAUACCCUUCAAGAGGCUACCCAUGCUCCAAAAGAUCGUUCUCUCUCUCUCUCUCUCUCUCUCUCUCUCUCUCUCUCUCUCUCUCUCUCUCUCUCUCUCUUUCAAACACUCUUGCCUUCUAAUGAUUUCCCAUAUACCUAGUCAGAGUCCUUCUCUUCUUCUGAAAUGUCUUACUCCAUUCUUUCCUGACUGAAAAUUACCCAAUCCUUUUAUAACCUGUCCAGUUUUUAUUUUAUUUUAUCAAUUAUUUCUAUAAUUAAUUGCUGAGGUAACUAUGUCAUUAAAACACGCACGCACACACACACACACAAACCCCAGAAUCCACUUAUAACACAGAAUUUCGCAUUGUGUUGAGUUUAGGCUGUCUCACUUUAUUUUUAAACAGAAAUGUUCAAUUCUUCAAAACUGAAGGAGUGAAAUGAUUUAGACCAAAGAAGGGAUCCUAAUAGUUGGUUGGAACUGCUAUGUGAUUUAAAAAGAAACCCAAGAAUAGAAACUGAGCCAGGGGAAACUGAGUAUAUUGUAUCCUAUCUGAAACAUUUUUUUUUUAAUCUCUUGUCCCUCCAGGUAUUUGUGACAUAAGAAACACAACACAAAGGAAGGAACAUUCAGGAAGGCUCAGGAAUGCUCUGAUGAAUGUGAAAAGGAAAAAAAUAUAUCUUAGAAUGCAAAUUUUCCAUAAACAAAUCAAAAGUGAGCCAUGAAAGAACAUGGAAUAGAAAUCCAAGAUCUCAUUGUGCUAAACUAGGGCACACAAAAUAAGGCAGGAUGCACUCAUUUCAUCAUCAUGAUGAUGAUGAUGAUGAUGAUGAUGAUUAUUAUUAAAUUUACUUAGUGUACUGGCUAGUUACAUCUUGACACAAGCUAUAGUUCUGUUAAAAGAAAACUAUUUUAUCAAUAGGGAUGUGUCUUCAUAAAAAUUGGGCUGCAGGUAAGCCUGAAGGGCAUUUUCUUAGCGAUUGAUCUUGGGAGGGCCUAGUCUGUGGUAGGGGCAUCCCAGAGUUGGUAGUCUUGAGUUCUGUAAGAAAGCAGGCUGAUCAAUCCAGGGGCAGCAAGCCAAUCAGAGCACUCCCCCAUGGUCUGUGCAACAGCUCAUGAUUCCAGAUUCCUUCCCCGUUCUAAUUCUUGCCUUCACUGUUCUUGAUAAACAGUUAUAUAGAACUGUGAUGAAACAAACCCUUUUCUCUCCAAAUUCUGUUUGCUUAUAGUGUUUCAUCACAGCAAUAGUAACCCUAAGAUAAAUUGGUACCACAUUUAUGAGGUGUUACAGUGACAGAUCUGUGAAUGUUGCUUUGGGGAAGAUUUUGGAAGGACUUUGGUAUUUUGGACUAGAAGUGUUAAGAGCAUUCGGCUAUAUGAGCUUAGAAGAUAGUUUUGAGAGCAAUGCUGACUAAAGACUCCUGAUUGUGAAGUUUUAAAAAAACUUUUUUGAGAGUCCUUUAAAGACUACCAGACAGGAGCCUAGCAUGGGUGUCCACUGAGAGGCUCUACCCAGCAGCUGACUGAGGCAUAUUCACAGCGAAACACUGGAGAGUAAUGAAUUUCCUGAAAGUGUGUGUGGCACCUCUGGGCCACUGCCUUCGUUCAGAGACCACCAGUUUUCUGCAGUGUCCUGGGCAGUAAUUUCACCACUGCUGCAGCACCAUUACUUCAAGGAAGAGCUAGUUAAUAAUUGGUUGUUUAAUAAAGAAAAAGAAUAGAGAUUGUA